rnacentral:tRNA from 1 species
GUCCCGGUAGCUCAGGGGGAGAGCGCCGCCAUGACAGGGCGGAGGCCGCUGGUUCGAUACCGGCUCGGGGCAC